GUGCUUGCUUCAGCAGCACAUAUACUAUAAUUGGAACAAUACAGAGAAGAUUAGCAUGGCCCCUGCACAAGGAUGACACGCAAAUUUGUGAAGCAUUCUAUAUUAAA
rnacentral:snRNA from 1 species